rnacentral:rRNA from 1 species
AUUGAACGCUGGCGGAAUGCUUUACACAUGCAAGUCGAGCGGCAGCGCGGGGCAACCUGGCGGCGAGCGGCGAACGGGUGAGUAAUGCAUCGGAACGUACCCCGUCGUGGGGGAUAACUACCCGAAAGGGUAGCUAAUACCGCAUACGACCUGAGGGUGAAAGCGGGGGACCGAAAGGCCUCGCGCGAUGGGAGCGGCCGAUGCCGGAUUAGCUAGUUGGUAGGGUAAAGGCCUACCAAGGCGACGAUCCGUAGCUGGUCUGAGAGGACGACCAGCCACACUGGAACUGAGACACGGUCCAGACUCCUACGGGAGGCAGCAGUGGGGAAUAUUGGACAAUGGGCAAAAGCCUGAUCCAGCAAUGCCGCGUGAGUGAUGAAGGCCUUAGGGUUGUAAAGCUCUUUUACCAGGGAUGAUAAUGACAGUACCUGGAGAAUAAGCUCCGGCUAACUCCGUG